ACAACGAGAAUUAACUGAUAUUUUUAUAGGUGGUUUCCUCCUCUAUAAAGUGAGGGAUGUUGGGCCUGAUGAUCACACAGGUCCCUGUUGGUUUUAAGUCCCACAGCCUCUAUAAGUAUCUUGCUUGCUCAGAUCCUCUGAACCUUAUUCUUUAAAUCAGAUUUCCCGUCAGGAGGGAGUUUGUUGUUGACCUUGCUGUUUGUAGUUCUCACAGUAAAUUAUUAAAUUGCCUUCUGGGCUUAAAGCAAUUUGGUAUGAGUUUGGCCACGACACCAACCAAUUUUCUUUGAGUUUUCCUGCUCCCAGAUACACAACCCACCCCAGGUCCAGACCCUCAAAGCUGAGAAAACAGAUGGCAGACUAGAGAGAGAUCAUAGGAAAUGGAGCCCUUUCCUGGCUGUGAUCAUAAAAUAAUAUUCCCCUCACCACUAACUAGGAAGGAAAUCGGUUUUUAAGGAAAUGUUUUGUUGGUAUUUUAAACAUUGCUGCCAAAUUUUACCAUAUCAUCACUUCUCUCCCUCCAGAUCCUCUCUUGUAACAAACAAAAAAAAAAGGUUCAAUGAAAAAACCCAAGCCACUGGCCGCAUCACAAUAGGAAGUAUUUCUACUGAGCCAGCACUCUGGGGCCAAGAGCUGUCUUUGUUACAUCCCUUAGUGUUCUGAUGUCUCUUGGUGUUCUCCUUCCCUACAGAAGUGCUACUGGUGACGCCUCCACAUCCCAGUUUGGUCCUUGGGGCCUCUAUGUUGACUCCCCUGCAGUCCAACUUGAGCACAUUCAUGAUUGAUUUAAAAUGAUUCUGAGCAGGAUUCUGGGGCUUCAGGAGGCUGCCCAAGGAGGUCAAGCCGUCCAACAGAGCCAGAAUCCCUGAUGCAGAAGGAUGCGCAGGGUGAGCAGAGCCCGGCCCACUCCGCUCCUCUCCUCUCCAGAGGCCUCACCCUCCACGUCCAGCGGAGAAAGGCCGGGGACCGACCCAGCUUGUUUAGGACUGCUUAUAGCUAGCGGGUGUCUGAAAUCCAACUCCCCAGUACCAUGGCGGAUGGUGUUUUCUUCUCAUCCAGGGACAUCAGGGCUUUUUACCUCCAUCCCUUUGCGCUCGGCCGAAGCCUGUGGAUUCUCCUCUUAAAAUGUUUUUAAAGGUAUAAAAUACAUCGUUGUUUUUCAUCCGUGGUCGCCAAAGAGGACCAGCGGCAUCGCAGGGCCCAUUUUCUAUUUUGCCUCCGUGUUUCCAGCGGCCAACAGAGAGCUCACUACAUGUUGGCUAGCUCACAUUGGAUCUGAACCUAAAAAUACUAGGAAAUGGCUUCAAACUUGGCCUCAAGCUGCAUGACCCUAGGCGAGUCACGUCACCCCAUUGCCUAGCCCUUCCGGCUCUUAUACCCUGGAACUGAUGCCCGGGAUCUAGUCUAAGACACAAGGUGGGUUUUCUUUUUUUUUAGUACUAGGAAAGUUGCAGUUUCCUGUUUUCACGGACCAUAUCAUUAGAAUUUGUUGAACAGGAGGACAUGACUGAGGUGACCUCUGAAGCAGCCCAUAAAAGCAGGCCAUCGUCACAGCUUCGGGCCCCAUCUGUUCCACCUUGGGCUCUGGGGUUAUGUAGGAUGUAGCCUCCCUCCGAGCACGGAAUGCCCUCAGAGAGUUCUUGGCUUUUCCUGGCCAAGCGAUGGAUCUCUCAGCUCAGAUGCUUUUUCUUUUCCUCCUUCCUUCUUCCAGCGACCCUGAACUGAGGUUCUUUGAAAUUGUUUUAAACUCUGAAGACACUCUCGUAAACCAUGAAUAAUGGUGAUGUCUGAGUGUACACAUAUAGAGCUUGAUGUGAUGAAUUUGGCUUACAGUCAAGUUAGGCUGAUUUCUAUUUAAUGAUCUUCAUUAUAUUUCACUGCUUAGUAACGAUGUACAAAUAAUAAGCAGCUUCCAGGAAUUAUAGCCAUUAGCAUUACUUUUACAUGGGUAAAGCAGACUUCUAGUUUUCUUUUCACAUUUUCUUUGUUAAUUCUCAAGUAUUUUUGGUCAGUUGGUGAUGACAGUUUCCCUCAUAGGAUAUCAUCUUCACAAAUUUUUAAUUAAUUCAAUUUCAUUUUAACCACAAAGAUUCUGACUAUUAUCCUCCAACAACCUGGCUUCCUUGCCCCGACUACUCUCUGCUCCACAGGCCCAGUUCUGUUCAUAUUCUCCCAUCACAUCCAUUCCUUUCAGCACCUUCUCCAUGAUUCCAAGGGUUCUUGGGUCACUGCCCACUCCCUGCCCUAGAAGGGCAUCUAGAAUGCCAUGUGGUCUUUAGGCAACAAAAGUUCCCAGCCACGAGUCUGUGGAUUUCCCAUAUAGGGUAGAGACUCAAUUCCCUAUUUUUCUUUUUUGUUACUAUAAGCAUUCAGUACUAUAAACUUACCCUGAGUUCUCCUUUGGCUGUAGUCCAUAAAUAUUGAUAUGAAGGAUCUGCUUUGUCAUAUUAUAUUUUACAUUAUAAUUUUAAAAUUCAUCUUUUCCCCUCCAUCAUUCUUUAUUGAAUCAUUAUUUGAUUUUUCAGAAGAGAGCAUCAAUUUUCUUAUUUUGUUAUGUAUAUAGUACUUUGCAAACCUUUAAAUGAUAGCUAUUAUUUUUAUUAUUACUGUCAAUAAACUAGUCUUUUUUUUUAACCCUUAACUUCUG
rnacentral:lncRNA from 1 species